rnacentral:rRNA from 1 species
AUUGAACGCUGGCGGCAGGCCUAACACAUGCAAGUCGAGCGGAUGAAGGGAGCUUGCUCCCUGAUUCAGCGGCGGACGGGUGAGUAAUGCCUAGGAAUCUGCCUGAUAGUGGGGGACAACGUUUCGAAAGGAACGCUAAUACCGCAUACGUCCUACGGGAGAAAGCAGGGGACCUUCGGGCCUUGCGCUAUCAGAUGAGCCCAGGUCGGAUUAGCUAGUUGGUGAGGUAAUGGCUCACCAAGGCGACGAUCCGUAACUGGUCUGAGAGGAUGAUCGAUCACACUGAAACUGAGACACGGUCCAGACACCGACGGGAGGCAGCAAUGGGGAAUAUUGGACAAUGGGCGAAAGGCUGAUCCAGCCAUGCUGCGGGUGUGAAGAAGGUCUGCGGAUUGUAAAGCACUUUAAGUUGGGAGGAAGGGUUGCUGAUUAAUACUCUGCAAUUUUGACGUUACCGACAGAAUAAGCACCGGCUAACUCUGUGCCAGCAGCCGCGGUAA